rnacentral:rRNA from 1 species
AUGGCAGGUGAAGAAAACGAGUAUGAUGUUGAAGGAAAUGGGCAUCUCGAUCAGCCCGUCACACGGUUUCACUUCAACGCAUUACGUGAUCAUCUACGCCGAGAGUUCAGAAACAGCCUUGACCCAAUUGAAGAGAAGCAAGACAAGUUGUCGAGAGAUUUGUAGCAACUUAUGGGUAAUGUUGAUGAGCAACUCACUCAGAACAUGGCAGCCAUGAGGACUGGUAUUGUUGCUGAUAUUGUGCGAGAGCUUCGUCAGAACCGAGAAGAUGCAAGUGUCCAUGGUGAAGAACAAAAUGUAACUGAUGGGGAAGGUGCUGCCUCCAAUGCACAAGCUAGAAGAAACCAUGCUCCUGCUCCCCAUGCCAUGAGACCUCCCGGUCCCGGACGUGGAAAUGACCAUGGUAAUGGACGUGGUCAUCAUGAAGCUACUGCUGGUCGUGGUCCUAGAGGAGGCCACCGAAGAGCAAAUCUGCACCAUGAAGGUAGUGGAGAUGAGUUUGAUGAAGAUGAAGAUGGCAUGCACCAGAAUGACAGAUUUCAUCAUCGUAGAAACUAUGGCCAUGGACGGCAGGAGGAGGAGAGGUUUGGAAAGCUGAAAUUUACCAUGCCCAAGUUUGAUGGUGGAUCUGAUCCAGAAAGUUAUCUCACAUGGGAAUUGAAGGUUGACAAGAUUUUCCGCAUGCACAACUACUCUGAAGAGAAGAAAUUAGCAAUGGACUCACUUGAGUUUGAAGACUAUGCUCUAAUUUGGUGGGAGCAAGUUCAGAUUCAGCGAGAAGAAGGAGAGCCUACUGUUGCUUCAUGGACAGAAAUGAAAAGAGAGAUGAGGACAUGA